GUGGGGAAUAUUGCACAAUGGGCGCAAGCCUGAUGCAGCAACGCCGCGUGAGGGACGACGGCCUUCGGGUUGUAAACCUCUUUUGGCAGGGAAGAAGCGAAAGUGACGGUACCUGCAGAAAAAGCACCGGCUAACUACGUGCCAGCAGCCGCGGUGAUACGUAGGGUGCAAGCGUUGUCCGGAAUUAUUGGGCGUAAAGAGCUCGUAGGCGGUCUGUCGCGUCUGCUGUGAAAACCCGAGGCUCAACCUCGGGCCUGCAGUGGGUACGGGCAAACUAGAGUGCGGUAGGGGAGAUUUGAAUUCCUGGUGUAGCGGUGGAAUGCGCAGAUAUCAGGAGGAACACCGAUGGCGAAGGCAGAUCUCUGGGCCGUAACUGACGCUGAGGAGCGAAAGCAUGGGGAGCGAACA
rnacentral:rRNA from 1 species